CCUACGGGGUGCAGCAGUGGGGAAUAUUGGGCAAUGGGCGCAAGCCUGACCCAGCAACGCCGCGUGAAGGAAGAAGGCUUUCGGGUUGUAAACUUCUUUUAAGAGGGAAGAGCAGAAGACGGUACCUCUUGAAUAAGCCACGGCUAACUACGUGCCAGCAGCCGCGGUAAUACGUAGGUGGCAAGCGUUGUCCGGAUUUACUGGGUGUAAAGGGCGUGCAGCCGGGAAGACAAGUCAGUUGUGAAAUCCCGCGGCUCAACCGCGGAACUGCAUUUGAAACUGUUUUUCUUGAGUACCGGAGAGGUCAUCGGAAUUCCUUGUGUAGCGGUGAAAUGCAUAGAUAUCACGCAGAACCCCGAUUGCGAAGGCAGCCUUCCGGCGCCCUACUGACGCUGAGGCACGAAAGUGCGGGGAUCGAACAGGAUUAGAUACCCCAGUAGUC
rnacentral:rRNA from 1 species